rnacentral:lncRNA from 1 species
UCCGCCAUUUAACUUCAAUGUGAAUAUGGAGAAUAGUUUUUUUUGAUCUGCUCCACAUUUCAAUGACUUAACAGACAUCCACUAUUAACAGCUAUGCUCACUUAGUUCCAUACAAGAAAUUAUGUUAAAUAAUUUAGAUUUUUAAUAUAAUAUAAUUAAUUUUUUUUAUUUAUAAUUAUCUUAAAUAAUUAUUAUUUUAUU